CUCCCACUGUGGGUGUCCACUCACCGUUCUGAAGCCACCAUUCUGACCUGAGGGAGAUGGAAGAGUGGGUGGCUCGUUAUCCUUGGAGGGCAUGCGUUCAUGGAGAGUCGUCCAGCAAGCCAACAAUCAACAAAGGGACACACUCCGGGAUUUCCCCAGCUGGCUGCAAGCCCUGUGAAGUGUGAUCGUUGCUCGCCUUUAUGACAACUCCCCCUUUUUUUCCUGUGGAGUGGCAGAAUCAAAGCAGCAAGAAGCAUCCAUCUCCAAGAAAUUGGCCCGAGAGAGCUACCACGGAGAAAUUAAAGCAGCCCCAG